rnacentral:rRNA from 1 species
GAUUAUGGCUCAGGAUGAACGCUAGCGGCAGGCCUAACACAUGCAAGUCGAGGGGCAGCACGGUGUAGCAAUACACUGGUGGCGACCGGCGUACGGGUGCGUAACACGUAUGCAACCUACCCGCUAUUGGGGGAUAACCCGGCGAAAGUCGGACUAAUACCCCAUAUUAUUCUUACCGGGCAUCCGGUAGGUCUGAAAGAUUUAUCGAUUGCGGAUGGGCAUGCGGAUGAUUAGCUAGUAGGUGGGGUAACGGCUCACCUAGGCGACGAUCAUUAGGGGUUCUGAGAGGAAGGUCCCCCCACACUGGAACUGAGACACGGUCCAGACUCCUACGGGAGGCAGCAGUGAGGAAUAUUGGUCAAUGGGCGCUAGCCUGAACCAGCCAAGUCGCGUGAAGGAUGACAAGAUCUAUGGUUUGUAAACUUCUUUUGCAGGGGAGUAAAGUGCGACACGUGUGUUGUAUUGCAAGUACCCUGCGAAUAAGCAUCGGCUAACUCCGUGCCAGCAGCCGC